rnacentral:rRNA from 1 species
AAAUAGAACUUUUUGUUUGCGUAAAGUAUAGUUUUGUAAUCUUGAAAAACUAAAUUGCGUGGCGGCUUAACAACUAUAUAGAGAGGCAUGCUUUUUAAUAGAUACUUCACAAACACCUUACCUUAUUUUGUAAUUAGUUCAUUUUGCACACCGCCGUCGGAAGAAUGGUUUAAGAGGACUGUUCUAUGUUUAUGUAUGGUGUAGUAUGUUAUUCAUUUUACCAUACUAAUUUAAAUUUAAGUCAGGUCAAGGCGCAGACUAUAAUUAGGUUAAAGUGUGACUCUAUACUAUUAUUAUGUCUUUAGUGUUUAAUUGCAGUGAUUUUUAUUAUUGAUGAAAUUAUUACUAUAGUAAUUGAAUUUAUAAGUAAAUUUUGUUCAAAAAACAAAUUUGAAUAGAG